UACAGAGGCCUCGAGCGUUAGGCGGAAUCACUGGGCUUAAAGCGUGUGUAGGCGGGUCCGUAAAUACCUUGUGAAAUCCCAAGGCUCAACCUUGGAACUGCCUUUGAUACUGGGGAUCUCGAGUCCGGAAGAGGUUGGUGGAACUGCGAGUGUAGAGGUGAAAUUCGUAGAUAUUCGCAAGAACACCAGUGGCGAAGGCGGCCAACUGGUCCGGUACUGACGCUGAGGUGCGAAAGCGUGGGGAGCAAACAGG
rnacentral:rRNA from 1 species